AUGAACGCUGGCGGCGUGCCUAAUACAUGCAAGUCGAGCGAACGGACGAGAAGCUUGCUUCUCUGAUGUUAGCGGCGGACGGGUGAGUAACACGUGGAUAACCUACCUAUAGGACUGGGAUAACUUCGGGAAACCGGAGCUAAUACCGGAUAAUAUUUUGAACCGCAUGGUUCAAAAGUGAAAGACGGUCUUGCUGUCACUUAUAGAUGGAUCCGCGCUGCAUUAGCUAGUUGGUAAGGUAACGGCUUACCAAGGCAACGAUGCAUAGCCGACCUGAGAGGGUGAUCGGCCACACUGGAACUGAGACACGGUCCAGACUCCUACGGGAGGCAGCAGUAGGGAAUCUUCCGCAAUGGGCGAAAGCCUGACGGAGCAACGCCGCGUGAGUGAUGAAGGCCUUCGGAUCGUAAAACUCUGUUAUUAGGGAAGAACAUAUGUGUAAGUAACUGUGCACAUCUUGACGGUACCUAAUCAGAAAGCCACGGCUAACUACGUG
rnacentral:rRNA from 1 species